GACGAACGCUGGCGGCGUGCUUAACACAUGCAAGUCGAACGGAAAGGCCCUUCGGGGUACUCGAGUGGCGAACGGGUGAUUAACACGUGGGUGAUCUGCCCUGCACUUUGGGAUAAGCCUGGGAAACUGGGUCUAAUACCGAAUAGGACCACGCGCUUCAUGGUGUGUGGUGGAAAGCUUUUGCGGUGUGGGAUGGGCCCGCGGCCUAUCAGCUUGUUGGUGGGGUAAUGGCCUACCAAGGCGACGACGGGUAGCCGGCCUGAGAGGGUGACCGGCCACACUGGGACUGAGAUACGGCCCAGACUCCUACGGGAGGCAGCAGUGGGGAAUAUUGCACAAUGGGCGCAAGCCUGAUGCAGCGACGCCGCGUGAGGGAUGACGGCCUUCGGGUUGUAAACCUCUUUCAAUAGGGACGAAGCGCAAGUGACGGUACCUAUAGAAGAAGCACCGGCCAACUACGUG
rnacentral:rRNA from 1 species